CUGAUCUCCUGGAUUAAAGAUCUGUCUCGAUUAUUUCCAGAUGGUUCUGUGAUGUCUGUUUAUGUUGCUGUAAUCCGUGCAGGAGGACCAAAUGAUAAGAUGACUGAUGAAGCGGUACUCUUCAUCUGAAGCGAUGUUUUCUUCAAAUCAAGUGUUGAGAACAGCAUACUCCUACUUUGACCAGAAUACUGCAAUUAUAACAAAACAGGGCUUUUGAUAACAAGAUCUGUCUUUUUGAAAUGGUUUAUAUUUAUUUUAUGCCUUUAUUUGAACCUUAAAAGAUAUUUUUAAAUAAGAUGUUAUUUUUUUAUUGAUAUUCUCUAGUAUAUUUCAAUAAGCUAAAAAUCUUUGUUUAUUUACUGUACGUCACAUCAGAUGCAGUUUAAUGUUUGGCCACUGGAGGUCAGUGUUGGACCAUAAAAAUCUGUUUACAAGCCCUUUUUUAUUUUUUCUAUCACUGGACCAGCAUCUUGCGGUUUUUUUUUAUAGCAUCAUUAUUUUCAUUGUUUGAAGUGAUGUAUGUCAGGAGAACACGUAAAUGUCAUGUGAGAAAUAUUUCACUGAAACAUGAAUCUCUGUCUGACAGAGGUCAUGGGUUCAGAUUGAUCCUGUGAGAAACGUAAAAGUUGUUAAUUUGGAAAUAAAACAAUAAGAUUGAGAAACUUUA